rnacentral:rRNA from 1 species
AGAGUUUGAUCCUGGCUCAGGAUGAACGCUGGCGGCGUGCUUAACACAUGCAAGUCGAGCGCGGUCCCUUUGGUGCUUGCACCAAAGAAGACUGAGCGGCGGACGGGUGAGUAACGCGUGGGUAACCUGCCCUAUACACAUGGAUAACAUGCUGAAAAGCAUACUAAUACAUGAUAACGUACACUGAUGGCAUCUUCGGUGUAUCAAAGCGUUAGCGGUAUAGGAUGGACCCGCGUCUGAUUAGCUAGUUGGUGGGGUAAAAGCCUACCAAGGCCACGAUCAGUAGCCGACCUGAGAGGGUGAUCGGCCACAUUGGAACUGAGACACGGUCCAAACUCCUACGGGAGGCAGCAGUGGGGAAUAUUGCACAAUGGGCGAAAGCCUGAUGCAGCAACGCCGCGUGAACGAUGAAGGUCUUCGGAUCGUAAAGUUCUGUCGCAGGGGAAGAUAAUGACGUACCCUGGAGAAGC